UUGUGUGGUGGCCACCGUGGUGUUUGGGAUGGGUAUUAAUAAAUCUGAUAUCAGGAAGGUCAUCCAUUUCAGGACCUCCCAAAGAGAUGGAUUCUUAUUAUCACGAGAUCGGGAGGGCAGGUAGAGACACGUCAUGUCUUAUGGAUAACAACUCAUCCUCAUUUUGUUAACUAGUUUAACUUACAAGAUUUUUUUCUGUUGGACGUAUCUUCUUUGUGUUUUCCCUAAGAUUCAUUCUCAACCAAUCCAAAAGUGAGUGCUUUACAGAUUACAAAAUGGACAUGAUGGCAAAAAUAGAAAAGUAUCGGAAUUCAAUCAAGUGAAUAUUAUUUUGGGUGAAUCUCAUUACCUGUCCAGAAAAUGUCAAUUCAGUCCAAAGAAAGAAAUAAACACAUUUGAGAAAAAUAUGGCUACUUAAUAGUGUCAUAAUAAUAUCAUGAAUUAUUCAAAGUUUUAUUUAUUUCUUUUGAUUUUUGGCAUUUAAAGAGACAUUUGUACAUAUUUAGAAAUACUUACAUUUGCACCAAAUUCUGUUGAGAGAUGUUUUUCUUAAUAUUGUAAGGAUGAUUAUAUAUUUAAGCAUGACAAAUUGUAUCCUAGGUUGAUUUUGUGUCCUUUUGAAGACAGGCGUCUGAGGAAAGUGAUGUCUGGAAUUAUGGGUAGCAGUAAUUGUUGUGAUAACUGCAGGUCAGUGUAAGUAAGUCUGCUUUCUGUGUGUCUUCAAACUGUUCUAAUAGUUCAUGAAGGAUGAUUUAUUUUGGUGUGGUUUCAGUGUAAACAGAGAGGAUCCAGAGGUGGCCCUACAGGACUUUGGCUCAUGUGCGUAUCAGCUAAUGAAGGCCGUCAGCGCUAUGGAUGAGAGGUUUGGCAUCACAGUGCCCGUCCUCUUCCUGCGGGGCUUAGGAAAUCUCAGAAACUUGGUGGAAAGCUCUCGGCCGAGAACUUGUUGCCAAAAAAUAUCUGAUGGAAAUCACGGGCCACCACAAAUUCUCCACCCUCUGUAAACUCACACCCAAGGUACUGGAAAAAGUUUAGUCAUGAACUAUUAAAUGAAGAAUGUUUCAAGGAGUGUCGUUAGAGGGGAAGAUAGAAGAAAAUAUUUACAGUUACAUAGCAAGCAGUCAAACCGUAAUAAGAUAAAUGAGUUUAUUGUCCCAUACAGCAACAGUGAGGAAGAGUAAGUGUAGGCUGGGUAAUAAUAUAAUAUUGAGAUAAUUAAUUUUGAUAAAAUCCAUAUCAAGUAAAAAGUUAAAGUUUGACUUAACUUGAAGAAAUUAUGACAGAAAUAUAUUACUAAUAUAAUUUAAUUGUUUAAUAUAGUAUGUUAAUAAUGUAUUUUUAAGGAAUAUUAUAC
ensembl:lncRNA